GACGAACGCUGGCGGCGUGCCUAAUACAUGCAAGUCGAACGCUUUGAUUUUCACCGGAGCUUGCUCCACCGAAAAUCAAAGAGUGGCGGACGGGUGAGUAACACGUGGGCAACCUGCCCAACAGAGGGGGAUAACACUUGGAAACAGGUGCUAAUACCGCAUAGUUUGUUUUUCCGCAUGGAAGAAUAAUAAAAGACGCUUCGGUGUCACUGUUGGAUGGGCCCGCGCUGCAUUAGUUAGUUGGUGGGGUAACGGCCUACCAAGACCAUGAUGCAUAGCCGACCUGAGAGGGUGAUCGGCCACACUGGGACUGAGACACGGCCCAGACUCCUACGGGAGGCAGCAGUAGGGAAUCUUCGGCAAUGGACGAAAGUCUGACCGAGCAACGCCGCGUGAGUGAAGAAGGUUUUCGGAUCGUAAAACUCUGUUGUUAGAGAAGAACAAGUGAGAGAGUUACUGUUCUCACCUUGACGGUAUCUAACCAGAAAGCCACGGCUAACUACGUGCCAGCAGCCGCGGUAAUACGUAGGUGGCAAGCGUUGUCCGGAUUUAUUGGGCGUAAAGCGAGCGCAGGCGGUUUCUUAAGUCUGAUGUGAAAGCCCUCGGCUCAACCGAGGAAGGUCAUUGGAAACUGGGGAACUUGAGUGCAGAAGAGGAGAGUGGAAUUCCAUGUGUAGCGGUGAAAUGCGUAGAUAUAUGGAGGAACACCAGUGGCGAAGGCGACUCUCUGGUCUGUAACUGACGCUGAGGCUCGAAAGCGUGGGGAGCAAACAGG
rnacentral:rRNA from 1 species